CCCUGGUCGGGCCGUGGGGCGGGAAGCUCGGUCCGCGCCGCCGAGUGGGGAAGGCGGGAGCGCGGGCUGCGGAGAGCACACGUCUUAGGCCAGGCCUUUGAGGCCUAACUGUUCCUUAGACCGUAAAACCACAGUCUCAGGCACUCGUGGGGCUAUAAGAAGCCCGGGACGGGGCCAGGACGCGUGCCCUGGGGGCCAGCCCGAGGGCCGCGGUGCAUGACGGUCUGCCCGAGGUCCUGUCAGGCGCCCCGCGCGCUCUGCCCGGGAGGCCUUUUGUGUCCCCGAAGCCCGUGUGUCGUGUACGAAAGCCCUUCUUUGCUGGAACUCGCGGGGACAGCCGAUCCGGCCCGAGUCCGGGGCCACGGGGGCCCACGGGGGUCGGAGCGUGUCCUCAGCCCCCGCGCUCCCACCGCAGGAGUCCAGCGAGAUGGAACCCCCCCCCCCCGGGAACCCGCUGGUGUCUGAGCGGAGGUCCCCGUCUCCUUUUUAUGUCCUUUUCAAGGCACGUUCAACGACCCCCUAGCGCUAGCUGCCUCGGGAGAAAGGGGUACAGAGGCGGGUCUUCCCGAUCCGCAAAAUGUUGGUUUCCGAUUUCCCCGGUGCGCUUUGCCUCCCGUCCGCCUGUGCUCCCAGGUGCUGAGGCCGUUUAGCAGGAUCCCCAGGUGGGCCUGAGGCUGGCUGGCGAUUUGGAACCUGGGGGCCCGAAAACCCCUUAAGAGCCACACAGUAACGCCGCCUGGUGAGCCGAGCGCAGAAGCCCCCAUUGGAGUAGAAAGAAUUAAAACUAGACAGGAGGAGCUCCCGUUUGUCACUCACAGAACUAUGUUAGAUACUAAAGAAGGCUUCCCCACAAUCCAUUUGCAUCUGCUUUGACUGGUGGUUUCUAUCAACCUACAAAGACUGACUUAUUGGUGAGGGCAGCUGGACAACUCUGAGAGCAACUUAGAGAAAUCCAUCUUGGGCACACUCUAUAAAGGAGCUCCUUCUCUGGAAAUAGCACCCCAGAUAAGUGCACAAAAGCAAGACACCCUCGUGGACCUACUUCCUCCCGCUUUCAACACCCUGAUGCCUGAAGCUAUGGACAGUUAUGGCUAAUCCUAGUAGAUUGUCUUCCCUUCUUUUAACAUCUUGGAUGAAUUUGGGGCACACUAAUGUGUUAUGUGAAGAUGGAUGUUGAAUAUACUGUGUAGAUUCACCCCAGCCAGCCAUCUUAAAUUACCUGCAUGGGCCACAGAAAUAUCUGCGGAGAAAGUUGGGUAAAUUCAGUGCAUACGAUGAUAGUGUGUAGAAUUUGACAGCAGUAUCAAGAGCUGAUGAGGAGGAGAAGAUGGAAAGGAGUCUAGCGACUUAAAAAUCUCAUAGCGUUCUCUGUGAGGUGACCUUUUUCCUGUUGGGGGCUCAAUUUAUUUAGGAGAUAAAGAAGAUACUCAGGCCUGUGACAGUAUCAUCAUGUCCUAUCUGAGCUUAUUGAAAUGUUUCUUCCCUUUCCUUAAUCUUUAUAUCACUGUUCGCUUUUUGUGUUAAGUCAACCCAUUUGUUUCCUCCUAGUAUUUGAAACAUUGUAUGGCCACCCUAAGUCCUAACAAAAUGACUUCUGAUGAGGAGGAAAAAGGCCCAUGUUCCCACCUUCCUCUGAAAUUUUGGCCUGCUCCCAAAACUACCCCCAUUGAGGAGAGGUAGUUACACUUAAGAAAGAAGAGGUGAUAAAAACUUUUGGCCUUGUGUUUUAUGACUUAAAAGUUUUAAAUAGUAGUUUCUGUAGGUAAGUUUUUUUUUAUUCUGGUAAGAACAUUACUAUUUCUUUUUGAUGUAACUUUCACUGCUUAGAGGUACCAGGUAUUUGGUAGCUUGCCAUAUUAGGAUUUGUGCAAAUCAGUCUUUUCAAAUAUGACAUAAAUUAGAAAACCAUACCUGUAUUUUCUUAUCUAAAAAGAAUCCAAAGCUUAAAUUUUAUUAUUGAACUAAG